GAUGAAGAACGCAUCGAAAUGCGAUACGUAAUGUGAAUUGCAGAAUUCAGUGAAUCAUCGAGUCUUUGAACGCACAUUGCGCCCUCUGGUAUUCCGGAGGGCAUGCCUGUCCGAGCGUCAUUGCUGCCCUCAAGCACGGCUUGUGUGUUGGGCCCCGCCCCCCGAUCCCGGGGGGCGGGCCCGAAAGGCAGCGGCGGCACCGCGUCCGGUCCUCGAGCGUAUGGGGCUUUGUCACCCGCUCUGUAGGCCCGGCCGGCGCUUGCCGAUCAACCAAACUUUUUUCCAGGUUGACCUCGGAUCAGGUAGGGAUACCCGCUGAACUUAAGCAUAUCAAUAAGCGGAGGA
rnacentral:misc_RNA from 1 species